GACGAACGCUGGCGGCGUGCUUAACACAUGCAAGUCGAACGGAAAGGCCCUGCUUUUGUGGGGUGCUCGAGUGGCGAACGGGUGCGUAACACGUGAGUAACCUGCCCUUGACUUUGGGAUAACUUCAGGAAACUGGGGCUAAUACCGGAUAGGAGCUCCUGCUGCAUGGUGGGGGUUGGAACGUUUCGGCGGUUGGGGAUGGACUCGCGGCUUAUCAGCUUGUUGGUGGGGUAGUGGCUUACCAAGCCUUUGACGGGUAGCCGGCCUGAGAGGGUGAACGGCGACAUUGGGACUGAGAGACGGCGCAGACUGCUACGGGGGGCAGCAGGGGGGAAUAUUGCACAAUGGGCGGAAGCCUGAUGCAGCAACGCCGCGUGCGGGAUGACGGCCUUCGGGUUGUAAACCGCUUUCGCCUGUGACGAAGCGGGAGUGACGGUAAUGGGUAAAGAAGCACCGGCUAACUACGUG
rnacentral:rRNA from 1 species